CAGGACCUGCAGUUUUAUGCAGAGUAUCUGAUUAUCAGGAACAGAUGAUCAACUUUAAGCAUGAAUAGUGGUGAAGGUCUGCCCCUGCCAUACGCCACUGUCAGGUAGUCGCCAAGCCGGGAAGGAAGGGUGCUGUCACGCAGUCAUGCCCGGGGAGCAGCCCCCAUCAGUCCCUGGAAUAUGCCUCAGAGACCCCGGAGCAAUGGGACGUUGUGCAAGGCCACUCUUUUAGCCAACAUCACGUGGAGCAGAGAGGAGUGGAGGUCGGAGGAGUCGGCGGGGAGCAGGAAGACCAGAGGGGCGCAGGUUCUCCCAAACCCAACUGGAAAGGCAGAUCAGUAAGAAAAAUGAGGAUUUCUAUCAUCCUGUGUGAAUGGACUCUAUACAUGUCUGUGAAGACAUUCUAAGGCAAAAGUGAAGGGGUCUUUAGUCACAAUAUACCUAAUGUUACGAUGCCCAUAUGUGAGCAAAUAUGCAGUACUUAAAAUUAAUUUAAAAAGUAAUACCAGCACUGACUGGAUGAAAUGUUGAUGAGCUGAG